UUCUGCCAGGAGAUCCCACCUGCCACAUUACGUAACACCAGGUGCUCAGAGUGCAGACGACUGAGGCCCCAUCGAACAGUCAGUAUGUGGGGCUCACUUUAACGUGUUGGCUGGGAAACACUUAUUUUAUGAUGUUGGAGAAAGAGUUAACGGGAUCACAGCUGCAGGGUUGACAUCCCGACACUCCGUCCAGGUUCCAGUAUCCGUCCUCACACUCGUCACAGAGGACGCCCACCACCCCCGCCCUGCAGGGACACUGUCCCGUCCUUGAAUCACAGAAACAGGGACUUCCCAGAGGACACUGAGUCACCUCCGUUCCCCGCCGGUCACAGGAGCAUUCUGGGAAUGAACCGUCAGCUGUGAGCUUUGGUAGGACAUGAAGACUUCCUCACCGAGUCCAUCAGGAUGUGAGAGCUGGAGGAGGCAUCGGGUCCUGGUUGUCUGUGGAAGACUACGUCCACGAGGUAGCGACCUCCCGCGUUCAGACACACUGGAGAGUCCAGCACAGCCCCCCUGGAGGCAGACAGCGGUAACAACACGACACGUAGGACCAGAGUUUUACUUCCUGUCGGGUCGCUGCUGCAGCGGCCGUCGCCUCGUGACACUGUGGUGAUGAAGACUAAAGCCAGCCAAUCAGAGGGCGCCUGCAGGGGAAGAUCAGCAGAUGUUACAAUACAGAAGAGGAAUUUCACAUUAAAGCAGCAAGAGAAUGAAAGUCAUCCUGCAGCCAAAGUUUCCUUUUAAAUUCUUAACACAUGAGAGUGUGAAUAAAGUCACGUAAUUAUUCAGAAAAUUAUCCCUUGAUCCUUUUUGGUUUUUAAUUUGAAAAAGAAAAAUAUCAUUUUAAAAUUAACAUUUGUCUGUAAAAAGUCAGUCAGUGUU